rnacentral:tRNA from 1 species
GGAGAGAUGGUCGAGUGGUUGAUAGCUCCAGUCUUGAAAACUCGUAUAAUUCGCAAAGAGCUAUCGAGGGUUCGAAUCCUUCUCUCUCAU